rnacentral:rRNA from 1 species
GGAAUUCCCGGUGUAGCGGUGGAAUGCGUAGAUAUCGGGAGGAACACCAGUGGCGAAGGCGGCCUACUGGGCACCAACUGACGCUGAGGCUCGAAAGUGUGGGUAGCAAACAGGAUUAGAUACCCUGGUAGUCCACACCGUAAACGAUGAUUACUAGGUGUUGGAGGAUUGACCCCUUCAGUGCCGCAGUUAACACAAUAAGUAAUCCACCUGGGGAGUACGACCGCAAGGUUGAAACUCAAAGGAAUUGACGGGGGCCCGCACAAGCAGUGGAGUAUGUGGUUUAAUUCGACGCAACGCGAAGAACCUUACCAAGUCUUGACAUCCCUUGACGAUGCUGGAAACAGUAUUUCUCUUCGGAGCAAGGAGACAGGUGGUGCAUGGUUGUCGUCAGCUCGUGUCGUGAGAUGUUGGGUUAAGUCCCGCAACGAGCGCAACCCUUAUGGUCAGUUACUACGCAAGAGGACUCUGGCCAGACUGCCGUUGACAAAACGGAGGAAGGUGGGGAUGACGUCAAAUCAUCAUGCCCUUUAUGACUUGGGCUACACACGUACUACAAUGGCGUUAAACAAAGAGAAGCAAGACCGCGAGGUGGAGCAAAACUCAGAAACAACGUCCCAGUUCGGACUGCAGGCUGCAACUCGCCUGCACGAAGUCGGAAUUGCUAGUAAUCGUGGAUCAGCAUGCCACGGUGAAUACGUUCCCGGGCCUUGUACACACCGCCCGUCACACCAUGAGAGCCGGGGGGACCCGAAGUCGGUAGUCUAACCGCAAGGAGGACGCCGCCGAAGGUAAAACUGGUGAUUGGGGUGAAGUCGUAACAAGGUAGCCGUAGGAGAACCUGCGGCUG